CUGCGCCGCCGCUGCCAACCCGGAAGGAGCCCGGAGGGGCCCGGGCGGCCAGGGCGCCCCCGCCAGGAGGCCCGCCAGGUGUCCACCUGAGCCCCACGCCCUGCGCCGCGGGGCCCUUUUGGGGGCGGGGUGCCAGCUCCGAGGUGUCCUCCCACGGGCUGUAGACUGGGAAACUGAGGCCCGGGCCACGGUCCCAGACGCAGCCGGGACCCGAACCCACCUCACCUGAGCGAAUGAUAUCCGGGACUCAUCCUUUUUCGACACCUUUGCGGGAUCCAGCCCUCCAAGGAAAGCUUCCUGAGCAGUGCGCGCCACGUGUAUUGGGCACCUCACCGCGGCCACUUCACAUCCUAUCUCAGGUGGAGAAACUAAGCCACAGAAAGGAGCUGUCAUUUACCUAAAGCACCGUGGCAGGGGUUUGGCAGAGCCAGGAUUUGUACCCAGAUCGCCUGACUUCGGAGAGUAACAGCUCUUAACCACAGCACUUCGGUCUAUGCCUUGAUUUCACCAUAUGUAACAAGGGACAAGAGCUUGCCGUGUUGCCCCAGGCUGGUCUCAAACUCCUAGCCUCAAGCAAACUUCCUGUCUCGGCCUUUCAAAACCCUGAGAUUACAAGCAUAAGAAAAGAAAAUCUUGUAAGAUGAAAGCUGAAGGAUGAGAGCAAUUAAUUGAUGAAGUAUGAUGAUCCAGGUGUCCCUGGGUGAAGAAACAACCUCUACAAAGGCCCUGAGAGAUGGGGUCUCCCUAUGCUUCCCAGGCUGGUCUCGAACUCCUGGACUCAAGCAAUCCUCCUGUCUUGACCUCCCAAAGUGCUGGGAUUACAGGCGUGAGCCGCCUCACCUGGCCUAUAGAAUUUUAUACAAAUGAAAUCAUACUGGUCUCGCUCAUCACCAGGCUGGAGUACAGUGACAUGAUCAUGGCUCACUGCAGCCUCAACCUCCCGGGUUCAGGCUAUCCUCCCACCUCAGCCUCCCAGGACCACAGGCGUGUGCCACCAUGCCCAGCUAAUUUUUUGUAGAGAUGGGGUUAUGCCAUGUUGCCCAGGCUGGUCUCGAGCUGCUGGGCACAAGCAAUCUACCCAUCUCAGUCUCCCAAAGUGCUGGCAUUAUAGUCGUGAGCCACUGUGCCCAGCCAACAGCGUCUUUCAAAGAGCAGAGAGAGGUUAAUUUUGAUGAUGUCCAGUUUGCACCUUUGUUGAAAAUUGACCAUAUAUCUGUGAGUCUGUUUCUAGACUCUUUGUUCUGCUUUAUUAAACUACUUGUCUAUUUGUACACCAAUGCCACACUGUCUUCAUUGCUGUGCCUUUGUAAUAAGUUUUAAAGUUAGGUCAUUUAAGUCCUUUAAUUUUGUUCCUCUUUUUCAAAGUUGUUUUGACUAUUCUAAGCUUUUGCAUUUCCAAUACAUUUUGUAAUCAGCUUGUAAAUUUCUACCAAAAAAGCCUGCUGAGACUUUGACUGAAAUUAUGUUGAGUUUGUAGAUUAAUUUGGGAAGAAUUGACAUAUUGACAGUAUCGAGUCUCUCAACCCAUGAACAUGGUAUACCUCUCCAUUUAUUUAGACCUUUAGAGCUUUUUCUCAGAAACAUUUUGUAGCUUUUUUUUUUUUUUUUUGAGACGGAGUCUUGCCCUGUCACCCAGGCUGGAGUGCAGUGGCACGAUUUUGGCUCACUAUAACCUCUGCCUCCCGGGUUCACGCGGUUCUCCUGCCUCAGCCUCCCAGGUUCACGCGGUUCUCCUGCCUCAGCCUCCUGAGUAGCUGGGAUUACAGGCAGGCGCCACCAUGCCCGGCUAAUUUUUGUAUUUUUAGUGGAGACGGGGUUUCACCAUCUUGGCCAGGAUGGUCUCGAUCUCUUGACCUCGUGAUCCGCCCGCCUCAGCCUCCCAAAGUGCUGGGAUUACAGGCAUGAGCCACCACGCCCAGCUUGUUUUGUAGCUUUAAUUGUAUAGGCCUAACAUACUUUUUUGUUCUGUUUAGUCUAUUUCAUAUUUUUAUGCUACCGUAAAUAGUAUUUUUUAAAAUUUCAAUGUCCAGGUGUUUUUUGCUAGUAAUAUAUUUUUUAUGUUGAUCUUGUAUCUUUCAACCUUAUUAUACUCAUUUAUUAGUUCCAGCAGCUUUUUUGCAAAUUCCAUCAGAUUUUUAACUUAGAUGAACAUUUUUUUUUUUGCAAAUAAAGGCAACUUUUCUUCUUUAUAUCAAAUCUGAAUUUUUUUUAUUUCCUUUUCUUGUCUGAUUAUAUGGGCUAGAAUCUCCAAUACAAUGUUGAAUAGAAGUGGUGAGAGUAGACAGACCUGUCUUGUUCAUGAUCUUAGGGGAAAAACAUUAAUGAACCCUAAUGUUCAUUAUAGGGUUUUGUUUGGUAGAUGCCUUUUAUUAGGUAAGAAGAUUCCCUUCUAUUCCUGGCUUGCUUAAUUUUUUUUUUAACAAUCAGGAACGAAUCUUGGAUUUUGCCAAAUGUUUUUUCUGCCUUUAAUGAAAUGAUCUGAUCAUUUUAAUUGUUUAGUCUGUUAAUACAGUGAAUUACACUGAUUGAUUUUCCAGUGUUAAAGCCACUUUGCAGUCCUAGGAGAAAUCCCACUGGUUGUGAUGUACAGUUGUCUUCCCUUAUCCAUGGGGGAUGUGUUCCAAGACCCCUAGUGAAUGCCUGAAACCUCAGAUAGUACCAAACCCUAUAUACACUAUGUUUUUUCCUGUACAGACAUACCUAUGAUAAAGCCUAAUUUAUAAAUUAGGCACAGUAAGAUAUUAACAAUAACUAAUAAUAAAAUAGAACAAUUAUAACAAUAUACUGUAAUAAAAGUUAUAUGAAUGUGGU
rnacentral:lncRNA from 1 species